GGGGCUGUAGCUCAGCUGGGAGAGCACCUGAAUGGCAUUCAGGGGGUCAGGGGUUCGAAUCCCCUCAGCUCCACCA
rnacentral:tRNA from 1 species